GAUAUGAGAUUCACCUAGUCAAUUUGACUUGCAAAUACUCUAUAGAAGUGGACGAUGACAAAGCCUUCAUCCAAAAAUCCACAGAGGAGACCACAGUGGGAAUCUACAUUCUCAAAUUCCGUGACAGAUCAGAUGACAUCGGGAUUGUUCCGGAAGGCCAGAACAUCUUGCAAGGCUUGGACAACUUUGCGUUAGCUAUGGCAAUGCUUUUUGGUCUUAUGUAGGCCUAUGCCUUAAAUCUCAACUACCCACCUGAAAUGAAAAAUACAUUUGAGGUACUGCAGAAGAUAGUCUUCUGUUUUUUAGUAACUUGAUACUGUUCAUUUAAUUCUGUAGCACAUACAUAAAAAUGAGUUGUACUCUUAAAAGAAAUGCAUGAAUUUGACUGAUUAUGAUUUUAAAAAUGAAAAAAAAAAGUCAAGGUAUGCUUUUGACAACUUUAUAUUGUUCACCUUUUCCUCUACACCUGUUUGACGGUGUAUUUGUCUUAAUGUUUUUGUUGCAGUUACUGUAUGAAUGGUUAUUACUGUUCACCUUCAUGUUUGACUGUGCAUUGUCUUUUACUUGAAGUGAUGAAUAAAUGAAAUGAGUAAAGUGA